rnacentral:lncRNA from 1 species
UGCAGGGGAAGGGUCCAAGGUUCACCAACCGUUAGUGGCCAAACCGGUCGGUGUGACCAGACCAAGCGCAACCUUCAAAAACGCUCUUCUUGCCGUCUUCAGCAAGACAAACAGGGAAAGGCUCCUGUGACUGCCAAAACUUUGCCUGUCAUAAAAACAUCCUCCAUGUCACAGUGACAACCACGAGAACAGAACGGGAGGCAGCAAGGUCUAGAGGAUGAGAUGCAGAACCGGGAAUCAGACCUGUUUCCCAACAAGACCGAGAACUACUUUUAAUUGAGAUGUACAAAGGAGAUCUCACGCUAACCUCCAAAAGAGUGGUGCCAACAGAUAAACAGAGGAAACACCAAACAAACAAGAAUGUGAAGUAAAAUCCUUCCUUGCAAAAAUGGCUACAUCUUUUUUCACAAACUUCAGGAGAAAAAGCUUCCAUCAAAUGAGCUCCAGCCUGACCACCUCUCUCCAGCACCGUGAACAGCAUGGAAGCCCAGAUCAAAGAACAUCUUAUAUGUGGCCUUUCCUUGUCCCACUAAAUGUCACUGAGGCAGAGCUAGUGGCACCCUAUACCCAGGCUUUCCUUACCAGAUCCUUGCAUCUCAGAAGCUCAGAUGCAAACGAGAUUCAGAAAACCAAAUGAACUGAGAAGAGGAAUAAAGGAGAAAGACUGGAUUAGACCAUGGCCAACAUCUUUGGGCAAAUGCACACAUCCUCCUGUUGCCAUUUUAGCAAGACCAUGGACCUCUCAGAACACUAAUUCCUCUCUGGAUCACUGCUUCCCAGAGCAAUAACAUAAAUCCAUCUAACAUUUAAGCAAAAGGAUAUUGAGCUUGGCAGAUCAGCACAGUGUAUGUUUGCCUCCUGGAGUGAUAAGGUCACCCAUUCAAGACCCCCUAGGAAAGGAGGGUGGAAGUGCAGAGAGCCACACAUGAAGCAGCCAGACCUAGUACAGAGGGUGCAGAUACCCUUUGAAGCAACAAAGAAUAACUGAGGAGAAGCAAGCCAGAGCCUUCGAGGAAACACAGGCUUGACGUGUCCAGCUGUCAUUAAGAAAUGCAAAAAGUUAACAGGUCACAACGCAUCCUGGUAUUGUAGGGACAUAAGUAGGGGCAUUCUUAGGUCUGGAACCCCCAAAGAAGCAGGUUUGCAGCCCUAAAACAUUGAUGUUCAACUGCUCAAAUCUGACCAGGUGAUUCUUGCAUGUUAGUUCACAGCCUUCUGAAUCUAACUGCACCCAACUUUUCACACAAAACACCCAUGUUUCCAUCAUUACAUAUAUCCUGGAAGCUGAUCAAAACCUCUCAAAGAAUACAUGAGGAAACAGACAUCUACUCACCUUGUUGACAGGAGCACAAAUUGGUCCCAUCUUUUUGGAGGGCAACUGAGCAAUAUUUAGCAAAAUGAACAUAAUAUUUCAUUUGGAAAUUUCACUUUUAGGGAUUUAUCCAAAAGACACACUCAUACAUGGGCAAAUUUAUGCUCACAAGUUUAUUUAUUGCAGUGUUUUUUGUAAUAGCCAAAGACCAAGAACAUUUGAAAUGUACAUCAAAAAGGAAUCUGGUUAAAAACGCCAGUGGAAUAUGAAAUAGCCAUUAAAAAGAAUGAGGCAAGUCUACAGGUGCUGUGAUGAGACAGAUGAUCUCCAAAAUGGAACGUUAAAUAAUAAAAAGAUCAAAGUCCAAGACAGUAUCAUAGCAUGCUUUACUUAUGUAAAAACAACCAAAAAUGGGAUAUAUGCAUGUUCAUAUAUACAUAUAUGUACAAAC